CAGUAGCCGCGGUAAUACGAAGGGGGCUAGCGUUGCUCGGAAUCACUGGGCGUAAAGGGCGCGUAGGCGGCGUUUUAAGUCGGGGGUGAAAGCCUGUGGCUCAACCACAGAAUGGCCUUCGAUACUGGGACGCUUGAGUAUGGUAGAGGUUGGUGGAACUGCGAGUGUAGAGGUGAAAUUCGUAGAUAUUCGCAAGAACACCGGUGGCGAAGGCGGCCAACUGGACCAUUACUGACGCUGAGGCGCGAAAGCGUGGGGAGCAAACAGGAUUAGAUACCCCCGUAGUCCCUGUCUCUUAUAC
rnacentral:rRNA from 1 species